UUAUGAAUUCAGUGACUGAAGAGAGAUUGUUUUGGGUACGGAGAGAAAGGGGAUGAAGAGAACCCAUUUUUUGAGGAAACUAUUUUAACUUUUAUUACCUUUAAGAGUUGAAUGUUGUGACUGUAUUUCAGAAUUGAGAAGUCAUCAAUUUUAAAUCAGGGUUACAGGGGAUCCUGGUGCUGAUUGUUCCCAGAGCUGAAACAUUGUCCAUCAGCUAUCGCAGUGGAGCAAGAGCAGAGGAUUUAAGACUGAGGGACUUGGGAACGUCUGGAUUUUCUGACAAAGCCAAGGGUGGCGUGAAGGAGCCCCCAACCCCAAGUCAUGAAAGGCAGCCCUGAGUCUAUGCGAAUGGUGUAGACAGACGGAGUUACACAGCCAAUUCCUUCUCUUAGAAGCCAAGGCCUUCAGACACGGAGAAGGUACCGAUGUGAUGCUUUGGGGAUAGAACAUUUGGCAGCUGGGGCACUGAUGCGGAAGCACUAUAGAGCCAGCGGUUCAAAUCUGUUCCUGAGGAGAUUGGAUAGCACUAGAUUAAUUAGCCAGCCAGGAAGUGCAAUAUCGGUCUUGUCCACCAGGUGGCAGUCUCCUUGAGCUCAGUUCCUCCCCCUCACACGCCUCUGGUGAUUUUUCCAAAGGCGCCGCUGGCCGCCGCUGGGCACCAGGGGGCGCUCCGCCUGCAAAUGUGGAGACUGUUACCCUGGCUUCCCACAGAGAUGCUGGCUUGGUUUGGAAUGUAACUAGGGGCUGAGAGGGAAAAGGGAUAGGGAUAUGGACGAGUGCUCAAAAUAUCAGCAACAGGAAAUCUAAUUCUGGAGCUCCUGCCCUGUACCUUGGAAUUUCCACUCUCAGCCAUCCACCCCCUUACGGUUGGAGGACGGAAGUUCCCGACAGGCUGUGACCACAUUGUUUGUUGGCCAGAUGAAAAAUGAAAGGGAAAAACGGCCCUCCGGGGAGGCCUUCUCCUCUCUCGGAGGAGAUACAAAGGGAGGCAGAGAAUCAGAAACUGAAGGGAUAUGGGGAAGAGCUGACUGAAUUGUGGUGUGUCAUUGUAAGGGGAUCCUAUCGUCCCAUAAGAAUUGGCAAAGAAGACAAUCAUCAAAAAAAACCUGGAAAGACUUCUAUGAAGUGAUACAAAGCGAAGUGAGCAGAACCAGGGGAAUGUCCUACAUGGCAGCAGCAGAAAGAACACCGAUCAACUGUGAAUGGCUUAACCGUUAUCAUCACUGCAAGGAUUCAAGGAUGAAAGUCUCUGCCACAUAGAAGGAACUGGUGGAGUCUGAAUGCAGAUGGAAGCAUACCAUUUUUCACUUUAUUUCUUUUAUGAGCAUUUUUCUUAUAUAAAAAUGAUUUUUUUUCACAACAUGACAAACACGGAAGUAUGUAUUGCAUGAUGGCAUGUGUAUAGCCUCUAUCAUCAUGCCAUCUCAGGGAAGGGAGAGAACAUGGAUCAAAAAACGUUAGAAAACAAUUAUUAAAAAUUGUAUCUACAUGGAA